rnacentral:rRNA from 1 species
GUGAGGAAUUUUCCACAAUGGGCGAAAGCCUGACGGAGCAAUGCCGCGUGAAGGAUGAAGGCCUAUGGGUUGUAAACUUCUUUUCUCAGAAAAGAAUUAUGACGGUAUCUGAGGAAUAAGCAUCGGCUAACUCUGUGCCAGCAGCCGCGGUAAGACAGAGGAUGCAAGCGUUAUCCGGAAUGAUUGGGCGUAAAGCGUCUGUAGGUUGUUUAAAAAGUAUUCUGUCAAAGAUUAGGGCUUAACCCUAGAUAGGCAGAAUAAACUUUUAAGCUAGAGUUUGGUAGAGGCAGAGGGAAUUCCCGGUGGAGCGGUGAAAUGCGUAGAUAUCGGGAGGAACACCAAAGGCGAAGGCACUCUGCUGGGCCAAUACUAACACUGAGAGACGAAAGCGAGGGGAGCAAAUGGGAUUAGAAACCCUGGUAGUCC